rnacentral:rRNA from 1 species
GUAGGUGGCAAGCGUUGUCCGGGAAUUAUUGGGCGUAAAGCGCGCGCAGGCGGUUCGUUUAAGUCUGGAUCGUGAAAGCCCACGGGCUCAACCGUGGAGGGUCAUUGGAAACUGGAGAACUUGAGUACAGAAGAGGAAAGCGGAAUUCCACGUGUAGCGGUGAAAUGCGUAGAGAUGUGGAGGAACACCAGUGGCGAAGGCGGCGUUUCUGGUCUGUAACUGACGCUGAGGCGCGAAAGCGUGGGGAGCAAACAGGAUUAGAUACCCUGGUAGUCCACGCCGUAAACGAUGAGUGCUAAGUGUUAGGGGGUUUCCGCCCCUUAGUGCUGCAGCUAACGCAUUAAGCACUCCGCCUGGGGAGUACGGCCGCAAAGGCUG